AUCAAUCAAUCACCCUAGUUUUCGUUAAGCCGUCAUGCGAAGCCACCCCGAGAGCUCAAGAAACGAACCGUUGAAUCUUUAAUUCCAUAGUUUUAUAAUUAAAUGAACGGAGGCUAAAAUUUGUUUGAAAUUAGUUGUUAUUGAAUUUUUUGCGAAGAAGAGUAGCACGCAAAUCGGCAACGUCAACCUCGUUGAUGUUCUCUGGUUUGUAGUAACCAGUGACAGGAUCUGGCACCCAUGAAACCUCGUAAGUGGAGACCCUUUUCUCUUCCCCU
rnacentral:lncRNA from 1 species